GGCGAACGCUGGCGGCGUGCUUAACACAUGCAAGUCGAACGGAAAGGCCUGCUUUCCCUUGUGGAUUGCGGGUGCUCGAGUGGCGAACGGGUGAGUAACACGUGAGUGAUCUGCCCCCAACUUGGGUAUAAGCCUGGGAAACUGGGUCUAAUUCCCGAUAGGACUGCAGGGUGGUGCCUGUGGUGGAAAACGAUUUUCUAGUGGUUGGGGAUGAGCUCGCGGCCUAUCAGCUUGUUGGUGGGGUAAUGGCCUACCAAGGCGGCGACGGGUAGCCGGCCUGAGAGGGUGGACGGCCACAUUGGGACUGAGAUACGGCCCAGACUCCUACGGGAGGCAGCAGUGGGGAAUAUUGCACAAUGGGCGGAAGCCUGAUGCAGCGACGCCGCGUGGGGGAUGACGGCCUUCGGGUUGUAAACUCCUUUCGACCGCGAGGAAGCCACCUGGUUGGAAGGGUGGUGACGGUAGUGGUAGAAGAAGCACCGGCUAACUACGUG
rnacentral:rRNA from 1 species